CUUUUUCCAAAAAACAAAAUGAGAUCCUCCUCCCUCAAACUAACCCUAGCCGGUGCACCCCUCUCUGCUCUCUUCUUCUUUCUUAUCUUCUAACCCCAUACUCAUACGCUGGGCUACACACCUAAAUGCAUCUGAAAACAAAUUUGAAAUUUCAAAAAAUCCCUUAUUAGAUCUGCAAUUUUCAGUUUCAAAAUUGAGAGGAAAAACACAAAAAAUGAGUAAAGUUUCAGCUGACCUUUUUUUUUACUCAAAAUAAUUAGUCGUAGUGGUUGAUUCAAGAGGUCUUCAAUACUAUUUUUCUGGUUUUUCGAAAGCUGGAUUUCAAAGAAGAUUAAAAAGGGUAUUGAUUACUAAAGUUUGCACAAGCCGUCAAAGCUCAAAUUCAUGGCUGUUGUUGUUGAUUUGGUUGUUUCAAAAGGCUGCUAAACUCUAGUUUUUUUUCACGGCAUUUAGGUAUGUUCAUGUUCAUUUGUACAUUUCUAUACAACCUUAUAUUUGAUCUUUCACACUACGUGUGCGUUUAAUCAUCUGAAAUUCAGCAUAUUAGAUCAAUAAAGCUGCCUCCAUCCCUUGUUCAUUCUGUGAUGUUAUCUAUGUGCAAUUAAAAAUCCCAAUGUUAAUCACUUGCAUAAACAGCCAAUCUCCGAAAUAUUUGUUUGCUUUAUUUUACAAUAAAAUAAUAAUAAUAAUAAUAAUAAUAAUAAUGACUUGAUUUACAGUAAUUAGUUUCAUUUCUUCAUGAAAUAUCUGUUUAAAUUGUGCAUCAAUUUGAUUUACACUAGGUUUGCCAAAAAUCGUUUUAGUUGGUAUCCUGUUGUCUGAAUCUCCUAUUUUAAUUCUUAUUUCAUGAGCAUGAGAUAUAAGUCUAAAAAUCUUUUAGUUCUUGUUUGAUAGCUAAAAAAUAAGAAGCAGUGAGCCAUUAUUUUUCCAUGGAACCUUUGUUCAUUAGUUAUGCCAAUUUGGCCAUUUGGUUUGUCUUGUAAAAAUCAGAAACUAAAUUGGAUGUGCAAUAAUUUAGUUUGUGAGUUUAGGCCAAAUUAGAUACAUAUCUGCCAAAAGCCAAAAAAAGAAGAAGAGAAACAACAACGUUCCUAUUCAUUCGUGUGCCGACCCAAUUUUUCUCAAACACACGAAGCUAGUUUACUCUUCUAGAAUUAAUUCACUUUAUUUCCUCCAUAAUAAUUCCAUAACUUGCAAACCUUUACAAUUAAUAUCAAAUGUAGGAAACCAACUUAUGAAUAUUGUAGUUUGCUUUAGGGGCGAUUACUAAAUAAUAAAUUAUCGUGACUAUGAGUAUGGUUUCCGUGCUAUGGUUGCGAUACGUAAAUCCAAAUUCGGGUGUACAUUUCAUGUGACCCGACCACAACUUCGAACAAUAAUAAAAUUCACAUGUUGUAGAUCGUGUGUAUGAUAACCGUGGUACGAUUCACAACGUGUACAAAAACAAACAAGUGUAAGACUAUCGUGACUCAUUCCAGAAAUAAUUUCAUAAAUAAAUAAAAGUGGUUAUAAAAUUAAAAGUGCACAAUAGGUUUAAAACAUGUAAUAAAUCAGAUAAUUAGUCCAAUUAUUAAUAGUUGAGCGAUCGUGCUAAAAUCACAGAACUCAGGAGUGCCUCACACCUUCUCUCGGAUUAACAGAAUUACUUACCCGGUCUUCUGUGUUCGUAGACCAUAGUUAAGAGUCAAAUUUUCUCGAUUUGGGAUUUACAAUAAAUCGGUGACUUGGGACACCAUAAAUUAUUCCAAGUGGCGACUCUGAAAUAAAUAAGUAAUUCCAACUCGAUUAAUGUCACUUAAAUUGGAAAAACUCUCUAUCCCUAUCCCCAUCGGGUAAAAAGGAGGUGUGAAGUAACGACUGGUUUUAAUGAUAAGGCUUUAAGGAGAAUAUUCAGUGAAUAUUCCUCUAAUCGGUACUAUUAGAAUAUUUGUGGCCAAUGUGCCCCUAUAAAUAAAAAGAUAGGUAGCUACAAAGGGGAAGGAGACACUCAUCGUAAAGAACAACAUAUUGGCAUUCCCUAGAUUCUUUCAUUAUUACAUACAUACAAAAUACACCUUUUCCUCAAAUCUUUGUCUAACUUUUCCCCCAUGAUCUAAGGAGAUCCCGAAUAUUCAAAGGUUCAUCAAUCAUUCAUCAUUGUUAGGUGUAACGACCCGACUGGUCGCGCAAUUCUGGAUGAUAGAGAUUGGGUUCUAAGGUUUAAGGACAAGGGUUGAAGUAAGGAUCUCUAGUUAUGUUGUGUUGGCAGGCUUAUAUGGAGCAGGGUGACGUGGAAUCACCCCGGGUUUAUGCUUAGUAAGGUUACACCAUGAUUUGAUAGCUUUGGAACGACUCCUGGCACGUUCGAGGACGAACAUAUGUUUAAGUGGUGAAGGAUGUAACGACCCGACUGGUCGUUUUGAGAAUUUACACAUCAUUCGGUAGUUUACGAGCAUGAGUAGCUCCGUAUAAUGUAUUUGACUUACGUGAAUCGUCGGUUUUGGUUUUCAGGUUAUUCGGGAUUAAUUUGGAAGAAUGAUUCUCAACUAGGGAGCUUUAAAUUUGAAAGAGUUGACCGAGUUUGACUUUUUUGUAUUUGACGUCGGAUUGAAAUUUUGAUAGUUUUGUUAGCUCCGUUGGGUGAUUUUGGAAUUAGGAGCGCGUCCGGAUUGUGAUUUGGAGUUCCGUAGUUGAAUUUGGCUCGAAAUGGCGAAAGUUGGACUUUUUGGAAAGUUUGACCGAGAGUGCACUUUUUGAUAUCGUGGUCAAAUUUCAAUUUCGAAAGUUGGAGAAGGCCCGUAAUGUCAAAUGUGACUUGUGUGCAAAAUUUGAGGGCAAUCAAAUGUGAUUUGAUAGGUUUCGGCAUCAGUUGUGGAAGUUUGAAGUUUCAAGUUCAUUGAUUUUUGGAUUGAGGUGUGAUUCGUCGUUUCGAUGUCGUUAUGUGUGUUUUGAGGCCUCGAGUAAGUCCAUGUUAUGUUAUGGAACUUUUUGAUAUGUUUGGAUGUGGUCCCGAGGGGUUUGAGUGAGUUUCGGAUAGGUUUGGGUUGUGUUGCGCUCGUUUUUUUAUGUUUCGACGUUGUUUCUUUAAGCAUAAAUGGUAUUACAUUAAGCAAAUGAGCUUCAAUUUAUAUUUUUAUUGAAGUAUUAGAUCUUUAUCGUAAUUAAGGAGCCACAGAAAAAAGAUCGUCGAAUUUGGACAUUUGGAUGGGAGUUUAUGGUUAUUUACUAAGAAUAGGGUUGCCAGAUUUUUCAGAUUAAUUACGAAAUUGCCACUGAUUUCGUUUUUAAAAUUCUGCACUAUUUCCAAAUAUUGAAACCAACAUAUCUCCUUCAAUAUAUGGUCAAAUGGAGUGACUCAAAAGCUUAACUAGACUAGAAUUUCACAAGGAAUCCAUUGGAGGCAUCAAGAAACGAGGCAAAACAUUAUUAAAACAAGGGUUUUGUUCAUUUAAUAUAUUUUGAGUUGGGGAGCUCGGAAUUGGGAAAUUUUUGAGGUGAUUUUCACCAUAUGAUUUGGGAUAAGUGUUCUCUACUCAGUUUUGGUUAUACUCCAUGAAUCUAUCUUCGAUUUUAGCUUUUGGUUGAUGAAUUUUAAAGAGGAAAUUGGAGGUUUUGGCCUAAAGUUUCAUAAUAUGUAUUUUUGAGUUUUGAACAUCGAUUUGGAGUUGGAAUUGAGUGAAACUAGUAUGGUUGGACUCAAAAUUGAAUGGGUUAUCAGAUAUUAUGAGUUUUGUCGGGUUCCGAGGCGCGGGCCUGGGUGCGAUUUUUUGCCGAAUUUGGGAUGUGAUUUAAGAUUCGAUCUCUAUCAUUUGGAAUUGUUUCCUUGGGCUUUAUUUGAAGUAUUUGAGUUUCUUUUGGCUAGUUUUUAGCCGUUCGAAGGUCAGUAUGCGCGUGAUGGCAUUUUUGGAGCAUCGCUUGGCUUGCUCAGUAUUGUAAUCUGCUUAUUCAAGGUAAGUGUUUUGCCUAACUUUGUUGAGGAAAUUUUUCCUUCUAUUUGUCAUUGUUUGCUACAUGCAGGGGUGAUAUAUAUAUGAGGUGACGAGCGUAUAUGUAUGUGACGGGGUUAUUCAUGCUCGGGGGUAUAUUGUGCUAUAACUGUGUCUUGUAGGAUUACGUAAAUUCUUGCUACAUGCUUCACUUGAUUUACCGAUGUUAAGAACGUAGUAUAAAAUGUUAGUAAUCAAGAUUUAGCCCAAUAUAACUUGAUCGAAUUUGGUAGAAUUCUGAGAAUAUAUUGAUGUGUAUAAUUCGGUCAUCUCUAUGCGAAAUCAUUAUUACAUUACUACGGCCCAUGUUCACGAUAUACUAGACUCUUUGCUUGUGUUAUGGAUCAUUGUGAGAAUUGUGGAAGUAUUUGAAUAAUACGGUUCUCGAGGUUUGUUAAAUCAUUGUUGAUUUGGAAAGAUGUGAUUGGGAUUUCUUUGAAAUAUCUGUUAACACUUUCCUGGAUGUUAUUUGUGCUUCCUGCCUUAGCACAAAGGGUGAUGACGUGCCGUAUUAUUGAGAGUAAAAGCACGAAGGGUGAUGUCGUGCCACAUUAUUGAGAGUAAAAGCACGAAGGGUAAUGUUAUGCCAUAUCAUUUGAGAGUUAAAGCACACAGGGUGAUGAUGUUCCAUUUCAUUUAUAUUGUUAUUUUUGUAUGUUAUCGGAGGUCAUGGCACGAUGGGUGUUUCUGUGUAGGCGAGGAUGAGGAACAUGCAUUAUUUUGAUAUCAGUCUUCCGUGUAUAUGUUCUUGUCUUUACCUUGAACUCUUAUUGUCAUAAUUAUGGAUCUGAUGUGAUUUACUGCCAUUGUUCUAUCAUGAUCUCCAUCUCAAUUGUUGUUGUGUUUCUCAUACUUUCUACUUGCUUAACUUGCAAAUACAAUGCCUAUUUCCUGCUUUUAUAAUUACACUCAUGUUGUAUCUAUUCUAUUGCACCUUAGCAUAAGCCUUCCACCAUGCUAGUUAUUCAUGCCCUUACUUGUUAACUUAUAAAGAUCUUGUGUUUCCUUCUUAUUUGCUAUAUUUGUACUUAGGCCUCCACUAUGCUAGUUAAUUGAAGUUGAUACUCUUUGUUUUCCUAUUGGUUGUUAUUGCUUAUGUACUUUCUGCCUAGUCUUUUACUGUUGCCCACAUGUAUAUCCUUGUCCAUUGUUGUUACUUGCGUAUUUCCUACUUUGUAAUUCUUGUUAUGGUGUUUCUAUCAUCUGGUUGGUUUUUCUAUACAUACGUUUGGGAAGGAUGAGUUGAACACACGAAGGGUGUUGUCGUGCUAAUUGAUUUGUCAGAUAAAUUUAUUUAUAUAGUGAGGAUGAGAUAAAAGCACGAAGGGUGUUACCGUGCCAUUUGACUUGAUAUCUUGGAAAUACUUCUCAUACCAGGAAGGAUUGUAAAUAUUCCACUGUGAAUCCUGCUAGUAAUUGUUGACUGUCUCAUGGAGUUAUAUACGGUACUUUUAUCUAUUAUGUUGAAACUACAUAUACUAUUAGUCUAAUGUACAAGUUAUAGUAAUAAGCAUCGUUCAACUAAAAGCUUCGUCACUACCUCGACGAGGUUAGACAAAAUACUUGCAAGUAUAUGAGGUCGAUUGUACUAUUACUGCAAUUUUGCACGUUCCGUACAGAUUUUGGGGUAGAGCUGCUGGUGACGUCAAGUGUUGAUUCGGAAGAUGUUCGUGCGUUUGGUUAUAACUGCCACUUAUCCUUGGUAGUUUAGAUUAUUGCUAAUCUGUUUAUGUAACCUUCAAACAGAAUGUGUAUUUAUUUGUAUUAGUUUUGAAAUUCCAAAUCUUAGAAGCUCGUGAUUUGUACUACCAGGUCUUUGUAAAUUCGUAAACGCUCAAUUAUCUAUUUCCUUUUAUUUUAUAACCUCAGUUGGGUUGUGUUUUUUUGUUAGUUGGCUUACCUAGUAGGUUGAGUUAGGUGCCAUCACGACUUGUGAUUUUUGGGUCGUGAUAAGGUGGUAUCAGAGCACUAGGUUCGUAGGUUCUAUGAGUCAUGAGCAAGUGUCUAGGAGAGUCCUGCGGAUCGGUAUGAUGACGUCCAUACCUUUCUUCGGGAGGUUACAGGGCAUUUGGGAAAAAAUUU
rnacentral:lncRNA from 1 species